rnacentral:lncRNA from 1 species
UUGUGCGGGUAGAUGAUCACCGCAAACUGAUGAUCGUGGUUUUGGAUGAGGGUUCGCUUGAAGCCGUUCAAGUGCCCGGCCUCUACGGGUAUCCACACGAAGCAGAGAACCAAUCCAAGUGCUCCAAUCUCCCCGGGGUGCUAGCUCUCUUGCAGAGAUUACUUUGAUGGCUGAUCACCUCCCUUUCAAUCAACCCUUGAAUGCUAGAGGGAGGAGGAAGAAGAUGAAAGGAUCAAGGAAGAAGAUCCAAAAAGCUAGAUGCAGCCUUUCCUUCCCUUGCGUUGAAUCCCAAACGGAGGAGGAAGAAGCAGACCACCAUGGAUCUUUUUCCUUCUUGCUUGCGGCUGAUCCAAGAGGAGAGGAGAAAGGGGGC